rnacentral:rRNA from 1 species
GAUGAACGCUGGCGGCGUGCCUAAUACAUGCAAGUCGAGCGAACAGACGAGGAGCUUGCUCCUCUGACGUUAGCGGCGGACGGGUGAGUAACACGUGGAUAACCUACCUAUAAGACUGGGAUAACUUCGGGAAACCGGAGCUAAUACCGGAUAAUAUAUUGAACCGCAUGGUUCAAUAGUGAAAGACGGUUUUGCUGUCACUUAUAGAUGGAUCCGCGCCGCAUUAGCUAGUUGGUAAGGUAACGGCUUACCAAGGCAACGAUGCGUAGCCGACCUGAGAGGGUGAUCGGCCACACUGGAACUGAGACACGGUCCAGACUCCUACGGGAGGCAGCAGUAGGGAAUCUUCCGCAAUGGGCGAAAGCCUGACGGAGCAACGCCGCGUGAGUGAUGAAGGUCUUCGGAUCGUCAAACUCUGUUAUUAGGGAAGAACAAAUGUGUAAGUAACUAUGCACGUCUUGACGGUACCUAAUCAGAAAGCCACGGCUAACUACGUG